UCUACGGGUGGCAGCAGUGGGGAAUAUUGGACAAUGGGCGAAAGCCUGAUCCAGCCAUGCCGCGUGUGUGAAGAAGGCCUUCGGGUUGUAAAGCACUUUCAGUGGGGAAGAAAGCCUUGGGGCUAAUACCCUCGAGGAAGGACAUCACCCACAGAAGAAGCACCGGCUAACUCCGUGCCAGCAGCCGCGGUAAUACGGAGGGUGCGAGCGUUAAUCGGAAUUACUGGGCGUAAAGCGCGCGUAGGCGGUCUGAUAAGCCGGUUGUGAAAGCCCCGGGCUCAACCUGGGAACGGCAUCCGGAACUGUCAGGCUAGAGUGCAGGAGAGGAAGGUAGAAUUCCCGGUGUAGCGGUGAAAUGCGUAGAGAUCGGGAGGAAUACCAGUGGCGAAGGCGGCCUUCUGGACUGACACUGACGCUGAGGUGCGAAAGCGUGGGUAGCAAACAGGAUUAGAUACCCGGGUAGUC
rnacentral:rRNA from 1 species